CCCUUAGAGUUUGAUCCUGGCUCAGAGCGAACGCUGGCGGAAUGCUUAACACAUGCAAGUCGCACGGUCAGCAAUGGCAGUGGCGGACGGGUGAGUAACGCGUAGGAAUAUGUCCAGAGGUGGGGGACAACCCCGGGAAACUGGGGCUAAUACCGCAUAUGAGCUGAGGCUCAAAGCAGUGAUGCGCCUUUGGAGUAGCCUGCGUCCGAUUAGCUUGUUGGUGGGGUAAUGGCCUACCAAGGCGACGAUCGGUAGCUGGUCUGAGAGGACGACCAGCCACACUGGGACUGAGACACGGCCCAGACUCCUACGGGAGGCAGCAGUGGGGAAUAUUGGACAAUGGGCGCAAGCCUGAUCCAGCAAUUCCGCGUGGGUGAAGAAGGUCUUCGGAUUGUAAAGCCCUUUCGACGGGGACGAUGAUGACGGUACCCGUAGAAGAAGCCCCGGCUAACUUCGUGCCAGCAGCCGCGGUAAUACGAAGGGGGCUAGCGUUGCUCGGAAUUACUGGGCGUAAAGGGCGCGUAGGCGGCUUAGUUAGUCAGGCGUGAAAUUCCUGGGCUCAAUCUGGGGACUGCGCUUGAUACGGCUAGGCUAGAGGAUGGAAGAGGGUCGCGGAAUUCCCAGUGUAGAGGUGAAAUUCGUAGAUAUUGGGAAGAACACCGGUGGCGAAGGCAGGUCUCUGGGCUGUAACUGACGCUGAGGAGCGAAAGCAUGGGGAGCGAACAGGAUUAGAUACCCUGGUAGUCCAUGCCGUAAACGUUGGGCACUAGGUGUGGGGGACAUUCCACGCUUUCCGCGCCGUAGCUAACGCAUUAAGUGCCCCGCCUGGGGAGUACGGCCGCAAGGCUAAAACUCAAAGGAAUUGACGGGGGCCCGCACAAGCGGCGGAUCAUGCGGAUUAAUUCGAUGCAACGCGAAGAACCUUACCAAGGCUUGACAUGAACCGGAAAGGCCUGGAAACAGGUCCCCCACUUGUGGCCGGUUUACAGGUGGUGCAUGGUUCUCGUCAGCUCGUGUCGUGAGAUGUUGGGUUAAGUCCCGCAACGAGCGCAACCCUCGUUCUAUGUUGCCAGCGGGUUAUGCCGGGGACUCAUAGGAGUCUGCCGGGGUCAACUCGGAGGAAGGUGGGGACGACGUCAAAUCAUCAUGCCCCUUAUGUCUUGGGCUUCACGCAUGCUACAAUGGCCGGUACAAAGGGUUGCGAUACUGUGAGGUGGAGCUAAUCCCAAAAAGCCGGUCUCAGUUCGGAUUGAGGUCUGCAACUCGACCUCAUGAAGUUGGAGUCGCUAGUAAUCGCAGAUCAGCAACGCUGCGGUGAAUACGUUCCCGGGCCUUGCACUCACCGCCCGUCA
rnacentral:rRNA from 1 species